GACGAACGCUGGCGGCGUGCUUAACACAUGCAAGUCGAACGGAAAGGCCCUGCUUUUGUGGGGUGCUCGAGUGGCGAACGGGUGAGUAACACGUGAGUAACCUGCCCUUGACUUUGGGAUAACUUCAGGAAACUGGGGCUAAUACCGGAUAGGAGCUCCUGCUGCAUGGUGGGGGUUGGAAAGUUUCGGCGGUUGGGGAUGGACUCGCGGCUUAUCAGCUUGUUGGUGGGGUAGUGGCUUACCAAGGCUUUGACGGGUAGCCGGCCUGAGAGGGUGACCGGCCACAUUGGGACUGAGAUACGGCCCAGACUCCUACGGGAGGCAGCAGUGGGGAAUAUUGCACAAUGGGCGGAAGCCUGAUGCAGCAACGCCGCGUGCGGGAUGACGGCCUUCGGGUUGUAAACCGCUUUCGCCUGU
rnacentral:rRNA from 1 species